rnacentral:rRNA from 1 species
UCCGUCGGGAAAUCCGCCCGCUCAACGGGCGGCCGUCCGGCGGAACCUGUGUGGCUUGGGACCGGGAGGCCUGAGGGGUACGAUCGGGGUAGGAGUGAAAUCCUGUAAUCCCGCUCGGACCGCCGAUGGGGAAACCACCUCAGGAGAACGGAUCCGACAGUGAGGGACGAAAGCCAGGCUCUCGAACCGGAUUAGAUACC